rnacentral:rRNA from 1 species
CUGGCCUUGACAUAGUAAGAACUUUCCAGAGAUAGAUUGGUGCCUUCGGGAACUUACAUACAGGUGCUGCAUGGCUGUCGUCAGCUCGUGUCGCGAAAUGUUGGGUUAAGUCCCGCAACGAGUGCAACCCUUAUCCUUUGUUGCUAGCGGUCCGGCCGGGAACUCAAAGGAGACUGCCAGUGAUAAACUGGAGGAAGGUGGGGAUGACGUCAAGUCAUCAUGCCCCUUAUGUCUUGGGCUUCACGCAUGCUACAAUGGCCAGUACAAAGGGCUGCGAGACCGUGAGGUGGAGCGAAUCCCAAAAAGCUGGUCUCAGUUCGGAUCGGGGUCUGCAACUCGACCCCGUGAAGUCGGAGUCGCUAGUAAUCGCGGAUCACCAUGCCGCGGUGAAUACCUUCCC